CAUGAUUUCUACAGAUAAUUGGAAAUGGACUGCAGAUCAAAUUUAUCCCAUAAUUUAGUACAAUAUCACCAUAGACAAGAAUGGUAAUAUUUCAGUUACUUCCUCUAUUGGAAUAUUUUAGGGAUAGUAUCCCUUGAAAGUUCCUAUGUUGGUCUACUGUGGUUCUACCAUACAUUGAGACUAUUUAGUGCCAAUUAUAGAGAGUACCACAUUGUUUGGCUAUAAAAAGAAACAUUGUUCUUUUUAAGGCAGUGUGGGGCAAUAAACUAGCUCUUUCUGCCUUAAACAAUUUUGUUACUGGUAAUUUGUUUUCAAAUGCACUGAUGCCAAAAAAAAAAAUACUGUGGACCUUUGUACUACAUAUUUGAAACAAAACUUGUGUUUUUUUCCUCUGUAAAAAGCUAUAAUCUACUGUUUUAUUUUGUUUUCAAUGUGCUUAAUUACUUAACAAAUCUGGUUAAAGUUACACUGUACCCUGGAAAACUACAGACAAGGAAGGAAGGAAUACAUGGUCAGGGUGGCUAAAAGAGGUAAUACAAAGUUUCAGCAUUUUUCUCAGAGGGCAUUAACACAUUCCUUCCUUAAGCCUUACUGAUUUUAUUUAACAUUUUAUCCUAAUGCACUAGCUGUUAGACUUUAAAGGCAAGGGCUAGAAGUAAAGUAGUGAUUUAGAAUAGCAGAGAGGUUGCUUGCAGCAGCAGUAAUGACUGAAAAAAAGAAGAC